rnacentral:lncRNA from 1 species
CCAUGUGCUUAAGGGUUGGAAACAGUGGUCUCAGGAGGAGGAAGGGAGCGAAGGUGAUGGCAGACUCUCCUCUUAAGUGUGACAGAGCCUCACAUGUCAAGGUUAAACAGCUUGGACUUCUAUAUAAUUGACCUGACCCCUCGGGCCUGGAGAUAAAUGUUAACAGAGCAUACAUGCUGACUGAGAAACGUCUGAGCUGCUGAGGAAGACCAUGGCGAUAAUUCUCCUUCACUUUCCAGCACAAUCCAGACUCCAUCAGAAUUGGAGGGACACUGGCCUGAUGAGAGAUUCCUCAGUCCUGGGAAGACCUGCAGAACACUUGGCAUCAACCAGCAAAAACAUUUUUAAAAAGAGUAGUGCUUCAUAGAACACAGAUAAAAUCCUAUUAACCACAGAUACUACAAAUGACUUUUAUGAACUUGUGACUUUCCAUUGUGGAUGAUUUUCUUAUGCAGGCAUAACAUCUGUUGAUGGCCUCAGAAAUCGUUCUAUCCCCCUCUCCCCUCUCCCUUGCCGAAGCUGGACGGUACUGCUGCCAUCUCAGCUCACUGCAACCUCCCUGCCUGA